rnacentral:sRNA from 1 species
CUCGCUUUCAAAGGAGGAGAAGAAGA